AUGAAAACCUUUAUUAAAAUGAGCUGUUGGGACAAACCCUCAGCUAACUUUAGAUGAUACAAACCUUUAUUAAGAUGAGUUGCUAGGACAAGCCCUCAGCUAACUCUAGAUAUCAAACUGUAGACAUAAACAACUGAAAUAAAAAGAUAUAGGUUGUCCUCGAAAGAUGAAGACUCACCAUGCUAUUAAGCUGGCCAGAGAUCAUACGAACAUUGAGAUGGAUGCUGAACGUUUGAACCUCAUAUAUAUAAAUCUUCCAACUGUGCAAUGAUGCUUGCAAAGACCUGAUAACCUUGAGACAUGUCAACCAGUAGACAAUAUUCAUUGUCUGCAUGGUAUGUAUCCAUAAUUCCGUAACCAGUAGUUUGAACAUCAUAACCCCUAUCCUGAAGAUCUCUUAUCAAUGGCAAACUACCAGUUAUAGAAUAUGGUUCUACAUAUCCAACAACCUCUUCAGUAGCUUUGGCUAAUACUUUAUACCCUAACGAAUCGAGAUCGCAAGCAACGCCAGAAUAAGGUUCCUCGAAACUUAUACUCAUACUUCCCCUUAUGUUUUCAUCAGGGAGAACAUAUUUUGAAACAGGCCCUCGAGUAUCAAGUUUUUCGAUAUUAGCAUUCAAGUCAUCAACAUAUUCUUGUAGUUUCUUUAUAACAUCGGAUACAUUGUAAAAUGGAGUCAACCUAACAUCUCCAGCAAUAGUGCACUCACCAGGAAUUUGAUUGUUUCCACCCCCAGGAUAAAACCAUUGAGUUGGUUUCAUGGUGGAUGGUGCUUCAAAUUUGUAGAUCACUUCUUUUGGAUGGGGAGGGAAAUCUCUAUAGAAGCGGGUUUGAAUUUCUUUGAGUGCUUCCAUACCAAGUUCCAAAGCAUUGAUAGCCUUGUUGGGCAAACCACUGUGGAAACCCUUUCCAGUUACCACAAGUUCCCAUGGUAUAACACCACCAGUACCAAUACAUGGUUGUUUAUCAGCUGUGUCAAUCCAAAAUAGAGGACCUUCCUUUAAUUUAUCAAACCAACCAUCCUUAUCUAAUGCAUCCACACCAAUCCCCUGGAUAGAUGCAUUCUCUUCACUCGCUAUGAAAAUAGCAAUCACCGAUGAUUUUAAUUUUGGCUUCGUCUCUGCUAAUUUCUUCAUAAGCUCAGUAACAAGCGCCACAUGACCUAAACAAUCCGUAGUUCCACGUCCCCUAAGUUUAUCACCAUCCACACUCAAUGAAAACGGAUCAAACUCCCAUUGAUCAGGAUUUGCAGGCACAACAUCCAUAUGCAUUCCAACAAAAGACACAACUUUUUUUGGGUCCGUACCAGGAUACUCCACAAUAAGGUUACCCCUAUUAGGAGUAUAAGAAACAUGAUUGAUGAUCAAUGCUCCGCCAUUUUUGGUGCUAUAUGGAUUAAGGAUUUCAAGAACAUGGUUCACAAUCCUGUCUUCCUCCGGGAUAAGAUCCGGUGGGUUGUUCUGAACAUAUUUUGCUUCGCCGAUCAGUUUCUUCAAAAGAGUUACGAAUGAAUCCUUGUUUAGAUCACCCAAAAUUUGCUUUACAUCAGCCAUGCUAAUAGCAAGUGUUAAGCUCACACUUUUUUUCUUUUUUG
rnacentral:misc_RNA from 1 species